CGUGGCGCCCGGGGGGGGGGGCCCAAAGGUCCUCGGCCUAAUCUAGUUAGGGCGGGGUGCGGUAGACUCCUCUCUCAAAGCGAGUAUUUUGAAAGCUUUGGGCGCUUAUGGUUACGGCGCUAGUAUGUUUUCCUCGGAUGGGGGUGACCGGGGGAAAAGGGGAGACCCAAAGAAGCCGGGACAAAAGUUGCCCAGAACGAACACCCUUUAGAGAAAGAUAUCCGCGCUCUCUUAUAAAACAACUUUUAAAAAUUUUUUUUUUUUUCCCCCCCCCCCGUACACGCCCGUCGCUACUACCGAUGAAUGCUCAGUGAGGCUUUGAUUGCUUAGAGGGUUGCAACGACCCCCCAGAGCCGAAAACUUGGUCAAACUCGGUCAUUUAGAGAAGUAAAAGUCGUAACAAGUUUCCGUAGGUGAACCUGCGAAGGAUCAUUACCGAGUGAGGGCCCUCUGGGUCCAACCUCCCACCCGGUUUAUUUUACCUGUUGCUUCGGCGGGCCCGCCUUAACUGGCCGCCGGGGGGCUUACGCCCCCGGGCCCGCGCCCGCCGAAGACACCCUCGAACUCUGUCUGAAGAUGAAGUCUGAGUAAAAUAUAAAUUAUUUAAAACUUUCAACAACGGAUCUCUUGGUUCCGGCAUCGAGAAGAACGCAGCGAAAUCGAUACGUAAGUGAAUGCAAAUUCAGUGAAUCAUCGAGUCUUGAACGCACAUUGCGCCCCCUGGUAUUCCGGGGGGCAUGCCUGUCCGAGCGUCAUUGCUGCCCUCAAGCCCGGCUUGUGGGUUGGGCCCCGUCCCCCGAUCUCCGGGGGACGGGCCCGAAAGGCAGCGGCGGCACCGCGUCCGGUCCUCGAGCGUAGGGGGCUUGUCACCCGCUCUUAGGCCCGGCCGGCGCUUCCGAUCAACCCAAAUUUAUCCAGGGUGACCUGGAUGAGGUAGCAACGGUGCG
rnacentral:rRNA from 1 species